rnacentral:rRNA from 1 species
AUGUCGAUUUGGAGGUUGUGCCCUUGAGGCGUGGCUUCCGGAGCUAACGCGUUAAAUCGACCGCCUGGGGAGUACGGCCGCAAGGUUAAAACUCAAAUGAAUUGACGGGGGCCCGCACAAGCGGUGGAGCAUGUGGUUUAAUUCGAUGCAACGCGAAGAACCUUACCUGGUCUUGACAUCCACAGAACUUGCCAGAGAUGGCUUGGUGCCUUCGGGAACUGUGAGACAGGUGCUGCAUGGCUGUCGUCAGCUCGUGUUGUGAAAUGUUGGGUUAAGUCCCGCAACGAGCGCAACCCUUAUCCUUUGUUGCCAGCGGUCCGGCCGGGAACUCAAAGGAGACUGCCAGUGAUAAACUGGAGGAAGGUGGGGAUGACGUCAAGUCAUCAUGGCCCUUACGACCAGGGCUACACACGUGCUACAAUGGCAUAUACAAAGAGAAGCGACCUCGCGAGAGCAAGCGGACCUCAUAAAGUAUGUCGUAGUCCGGAUUGGAGUCUGCAACUCGACUCCAUGAAGUCGGAAUCGCUAGUAAUCGUAGAUCAGAAUGCUACGGUGAAUACGUUCCCGGGCCUUGUACACACCGCCCGUCACACCAUGGGAGUGGGUUGCAAAAGAAGUAGGUAGCUUAACCUUCGGGAGGGCGCUUACCACUUUGUGAUUCAUGACUGGGGUGAAGUCGUAACAAGGUAACCGUAGGGGAACCUGCGGUUGGAUCACCUCCUUACCUUAAAGAA